rnacentral:rRNA from 1 species
AUUGAACGCUGGCGGCAGGCCUAACACAUGCAAGUCGAGCGAGCGGCGGACGGUGGAGUAAUGUAUGGGGUCUGCCCGAUAUAGGGGGAUAACAACUGGAAACGGCAGCUAAUACCGCAUACUAUCGGAUAACCCAUAUGGGAUUAGCUAGUAGGUGAGGUAAUGGCUAACAUAGGCGAGGAUCCGGAGCUGGUCUGAGAGGAUGAUCAGCCACACUGGGACGGUGACACGGCCCAGACUCCUACGGAGGCAGCAGUGGGGAAUAUUGCACAAUGGGCGCAAGCCUUAUGCAGCCAUGCCGCGUGUAUGAAGAAGGCCCUAGGGUUGUAAAGUACUUUCAGUCGGGAGGCGUUACCGACAGAAGAAGCACCGGCUAACUCCGUGCCAGCAGCCGCGGUAAUUC